rnacentral:rRNA from 1 species
GAACGCUGGCGGCGUGGAUAAGACAUGCAAGUCGAACGAGAGAAUUGCUAGCUUGCUAAUAAUUCUCUAGUGGCGCACGGGUGAGUAACACGUGAGUAACCUGCCCCCGAGAGCGGGAUAGCCCUGGGAAACUGGGAUUAAUACCGCAUAGUAUCGAAAGAUUAAAGCAGCAAUGCGCUUGGGGAUGGGCUCGCGGCCUAUUAGUUAGUUGGUGAGGUAACGGCUCACCAAGGCGAUGACGGGUAGCCGGUCUGAGAGGAUGUCCGGCCACACUGGAACUGAGACACGGUCCAGACACCUACGGGUGGCAGCAGUCGAGAAUCAUUCACAACGGGGGAAACCCUGAUGGUGCGACGCCGCGUGGGGGAAUGAAGGUCUUCGGAUUGUAAACCCCUGUCAUGUGGGAGCAAAUUAAAAAGAUAGUACCACAAGAGGAAGAGACGGCUAACUCUGUGCCAGCAGCCGCGGUAAUACAGAGGUCUCAAGCGUUGUUCGGAAUCACUGGGCGUAAAGCGUGCGUAGGCUGUUUCGUAAGUCGUGUGUGAAAGGCGCGGGCUCAACCCGCGGACGGCACAUGAUACUGCGAGACUAGAGUAAUGGAGGGGGAACCGGAAUUCUCGGUGUAGCAGUGAAAUGCGUAGAUAUCGAGAGGAACACUCGUGGCGAAGGCGGGUUCCUGGACAUUAACUGACGCUGAGGCACGAAGGCCAGGGGAGCGAAAGGGAUUAGAUACCCCUGUAGUCCUGGCAGUAAACGGUGCACGCUUGGUGUGCGGGGAAUCGACCCCCUGCGUGCCGGAGCUAACGCGUUAAGCGUGCCGCCUGGGGAGUACGGUCGCAAGAUUAAAACUCAAAGAAAUUGACGGGGACCCGCACAAGCGGUGGAGUAUGUGGCUUAAUUCGAUGCAACGCGAAGAACCUUACCUGGGCUUGACAUGUAAUGAACAACAUGUGAAAGCAUGCGACUCUUCGGAGGCGUUACACAGGUGCUGCAUGGCCGUCGUCAGCUCGUGUCGUGAGAUGUUUGGUUAAGUCCAGCAACGAGCGCAACCCCUGUUGCCAGUUACCAGCACGUGAAGGUGGGGACUCUGGCGAGACUGCCCAGAUCAACUGGGAGGAAGGUGGGGACGACGUCAGGUCAGUAUGGCCCUUAUGCCCAGGGCUGCACACGUACUACAAUGCCCAGUACAGAGGGGGCCGAAGCCGCGAGGCGGAGGAAAUCCUGAAAACUGGGCCCAGUUCGGACUGUAGGCUGCAACCCGCCUACACGAAGCCGGAAUCGCUAGUAAUGGCGCAUCAGCUACGGCGCCGUGAAUACGUUCCCGGGUCUUGUACACACCGCCCGUCACAUCAUGGAAGCCGGUCGCACCCGAAGUAUCUGAAGCCAACCGCAAGGAGGCAGGGUCCUAAGGUGAGACUGGUAACUGGG